CGGAGGGGCUAGCGUUGUUCGGAAUUACUGGGCGUAAAGAGCGCGUAGGCGGUUUAGUAAGUUGGAAGUGAAGCCCGGGCUUAACCUCGGAAUUGCUUUCAAACUGCUAGGCUAGAGUGUAGUAGGGGAUGAUGGAAUUCCUAGUGUAGAGGUGAAAUUCUUAGAUAUUAGGAGGAACACCGGUGGCGAAGGCGGUCAUCUGGGCUACAACUGACGCUGAGGCGCGAAAGCGUGGGGAGCAAACAGGAUU
rnacentral:rRNA from 1 species